rnacentral:lncRNA from 1 species
AAUUAGUAUAAAUAAUAUUUGUGGUCAGAUGUUAUAUCCAGCAGUGCAGCGUAAAACAGCUGAUCGACAGAACGGGGAGGAGCUCUGAAACUUUGUUGCCAACAGCUGGUUCCUGCGUUUUCACCCAGUGAAAGCGGACACCGCUUCCAGUCCAGGUCUUUUGGACGUUUCUGCGUCCGUGCGCGAGAUUAACGACUUUGUGACAAUGGCGAGCUGGAAAAGUCACGUGCGUGCUCGACUGCAACUAAGAGACCACACUGAGAAACGUCCGUUUGUUGGCGUUUUCAGCAGCUGUAAGGGGAACAGCGUUCUGCUCUCUUUGCAUUAUGACUUUGGCAUCGUUUAACCGUUUUCGUUUUCCUGUAGUGUCUCAGCUGGAAGAACGUUUCGAAGCAAGGAAACAAUUUUUGGGAGAAGUUAAAUCUGAAAGGUUUGAAAGAUUAAUUUUACCGAAGCCUUUUAUUAGCUACAUGUCAAAUAUGGACACGCAUUUAAACAAUAACUAUGUUCAUUCUCAGUCAGGAACGUGGUGCAGUGGACGUUGCGAUAAACACCAGACUUCUGCAGCUCCAGCUGAAAGAGAGCGAACACUUUGCAGACAAGGUGGGUGAAAUGACUCCAUGAUAAAGACCGUCAGCCUUCAACUACAGGGGCAGGUGAUCGAGUUCAUUCAUUCUCCACUUAGCCACUUCAUGCAUUGCUCUUUGUUUGCUCAGCUGUCUCAGACCGUCUCUGACCUGACCUCUGUUCUGUAUGUGAAAGAGGCUGAAGUGCAAUAUUGGCAGUCACGUGUGUCCCAGUAUCGUGAGGAAGCACUGACUCUGGCCAAAGGGAGCAACGGCCUGAAAGCAACCCUUGCACAACUGGACUUCACCAUUGAGUGUCAGGCCAAAGAACUGGGGGCUCUGCGUGCCGAGCGGGACAGAGUCCAGGCAGAGUUGGCUCAAGCUCGGAGAGAGAAGGACGAGCUCCUGCAACGCUGGAUGGAGGACAAGCGGGAGGAGGCCGACAGGCUGAAUAAUUACAACGACAUCCAGGAAAGGUGGCAGCGUUUAACCCAACAGCUGAGGAAGCAUCUCCAUAAGGAAGCAAAGGCCCACGUUCCCACAGUGGCCAGUGGUGCCACAGCGGCAGACGCUCCGCGUUCUCACCAGGACAUAUGCUCAGUGAAGUAGAUGCUCUUAAUGUGACUAAUCGCCAUUCACUGGUGUCCACACUAAUCCUCAGCAGCCCAUCAAGACGGAGACGUCCAAGUGAACAGAUAAUUAUCCUGAAUGCCAUGUAUUUAUGAAACCAAUGAACCAUUACUGGCAAACACUGUACUAGACUGGUGGAGGAAGACACAUUAGUAACACGUGUGAUGCACUACAAGCAG